GCCUGAAGUAAGCAAGACUACCCGCUGAACUUAA
rnacentral:rRNA from 2 species